AAGAAUUUAAGGAAAAAAAAAAAGAAAAGAAAAGGGGCAGGGUUGUAGUUCAGUAUGAAAGCCCUGGGUUCAAUCCCAGUGCUGCAAAGAAGAAAAAAAAGGAAAAGGAAAAUGGAAAGCAACAGGCAGCUGUCAAUUAUGCAAAUGAGCAGGGUGGGUGGAGGCUUAUCUGUCCAUAUUAAUGAGGUAGCCAACCAAGGUCAGGUGAAAAGUAAGUGCUGUUCCAGGCAAACACACAUGCAUGCACACACACGCACACCACAGGCAGGCUGAAGGAAGUGUGGGCAGCCAGGACCGACAGUAAGGAAAUGGCUCCCAGCCUGGGAAGGAUCCUCACACACAGCGAACUGUGAGGCUCAGGGCCCAAGAGGCCACCCUGCAUGCCUAAGGAACACUCAAAGACACGAUGCUUCCUCCUCCCCAACGUGUGUGAGAACUUCUACUCACCACAGGAGAAGACUCAAUGACCAGAAAGGCAAAACAAGUGAGGGUGACAGAGAGCAACUAAGGCUCGAGGUGCCUGGGGCCUGGGGCAGCGUCAGACAGCAGCACUCAGGUGCUGGCUCCACCUUCCGUCCUGCGCCCAUGACCAGUGUUCGACUGCGGCCGGCCACUGUCCUCUGAAGCCACUGUCUGGGCCACGCCUCACCAAGCUGGCUUUGUGGCCUGGGGCUGGGACAGAAGCUCUGGGGCCAUACCUGGUUGACUACUCUGCCACAGAGGUGAGUUUUCUGGAAUGGGAAGCCCCGUCCUGGAACCCACACCUUAGACAGCUGCUCCUAAAUGCAAAAAGGAGUCACGGCGCCUCCCAAACUGCCAAGGGCCCAGCACUGAGACUCUGGACUCAAGAAGUCACCAAACCAUCCUAGGUACACAUGGCCCUGUGCCAGGCACAAGGACAAGGAUAUAGGAGGAGGCUAAGACAAGGAGCCGCAGUGCAUGGCAGAAAAACCUGGAUGAAGACAACACUAUGACGGCCCAAAAGGACACAUCAGUCAGGCUAAAACCCAGACACUCCUGGGCUGCCCAGCACAAUCAGACACGGGCUCCAAGGCCGGAGGGGAAAACCUACAGCCUUAACCCAGCACAGUAAUAGUAGAGCAGGAGGAGAGGGACUUGCUGCCCAGGGCUCCAGAGAGAAGUCACAGGAGCUAGGUCUUGAAGGAUGAAUAGGAGUUUACUGGGUGAGAGAAAGGAAGACAGAGCACAGACAAUCAUGGCAGGCUUGGAGAACACAGAGGGACCCCUGUGCUGAGGGGUCACCAGCCCAGUCACCCCCAGGACGAGGCGCCUCAGGCACCAUGAUGGAGGACAAGGGGACUCUGAGCUGGCAGCCUGACCCAUUGGACAGCGUCACAGCUGCUGGCCUGAAGGACAGGGAGACAGCUGGGCCCAAGACGCCAUGAGCCGACCUGUCCUUCAGGGAGCACAGGCUGCAGCGAGCACUUGGAGGGCUCUGUGCCUGACCCAGAUGUGGUAACUGACCAGGCCUCCCAGGUGGCGGCAGGUCAGGUGUGGGGACCUCUGGGGAGAGGAGCCAGGGGACGGCCUGGCUGGUAGAGCAGUCAGGCUGUGGGAAGUGCAACCCACUGUGGGGCUCAUGUCACAGAGGGAAAGGAGCAAGUGGGAUGAGGGGCGGCAGGACUGAGAGGGAGGCCAGGACGCGUGGCGUGGCCCCUGGUCCACAGCAGGCCCUCAGAAAGUGCCGGGUCAUGCACUAAGGACAAGAGGAGACACAGGAGACAGAGGAACAGCAAGCAUCAAGUUCAAAGAGCCCCGCUUCCUUUCCUUCUCUCUUCCCUCCAGUUCACCCUCGGCCCCAGCUGGCUCACAGGAGUGAAAGAGUGAAGAGCCAGGGAGGGGAGACCUGUGCCCCAGAGCAUCCCUGUCCCCGGGACAGUUCACAGCAGUGCCCAACUUCAGCACAACAGCCAUUCACACCGGAUCCUUCCGUGUGCCGGGGCUGCCUUGUGCUUGGCCGGGGGUCAGCAGUGUGGACUCUACCCAAUACAGUCUUCAGCACCAGCAUCCCUGCCAGGCUUCACAAUAAAGACACAGGGGCGAAGGAGGGGACAAGGCUCUCCUACAACCACCAGGCUGACCCAGACCGAAGCAGGAUUUGAACCCUGGUCCUACACGCUCCUACAAGCAUACCUGGGCAACACUUCGCUCUAAAAACACAAACUACUCCAUGGGCAGGAGGCUGGUUUCAGAGACAGAGGAGAAGGAAGCAGAAACCCAAGAACAGGAGGCAGACUUCACCUUCAAGUUACAUUCCUUGUGUGGCAGAGACGGGGAGGCAGAACGAAUGACAGAACAACCAACUGGCAUGAGCUACUCUAGGUCAUGCUGUUUCAUAGUUGAUCAAAACUGGCCUGCUUGGGAAAUCUGACCGUCAGCUCUCUAAUCCUGAUUUCCUGAAGGUCAGAUAAACAAUUUAGCUUGGUGAGUGGCUUGAAAUUUUAACGUGAGUGAUUCUGUUCUGAGUUUUCAGCCAGGUCUAUUAGGGCCCGGUCAAGGAGCCUGGUCUGAAACAAUGGCCUCCUAUCAUUUUACUGAUUUAGUUUGCAGUACUGGGGAUCAAACCCAGACCUAUGUGCAUGCCAGGCAAGCACUUUACCACUGAGCUGCAGCCCCAAUCUACUUCUUUAUUUUUCAAGUCAAGUUUUAUUAUGUUGCCCAGGCUGGGCAAACUCCUGGGCUCAAAUGAUCCUCCUGCCUCAGGCUUCCAGUAGCUUGGACUGCAGGAGGUACACAACUCCUGUAACUUUUAUUUAACAUCAGAUAACCCCCAAAUAUGGAGAAACUGGAGGAGCCUGUUUAUGUAUGCAAUGUUCAUGGAACUGGAUAGAUAGAAAACAUCUGUUUUAGAUUGGCUGUAAAAUAUUUAUCCUGCUGGGUGUGGUGGCACACCAGUAAUCCCAGCACUCCAGAGGCAGAGACAGGAGGAUCACUGAGUUCAAGGCCAGCCUGAACUACAUGGUGAGACCCUGACUCCAAAGGCCAAAACCAAGGCAAACCAAACAUUUCUCCUUGUCAUUCCAGGCCAACUGCAUCUUCUAGGCCUGGAUGGAAAGGGAAGCAGGGGCACCUGCAGGCCGGCAGAACAGGGCAGAAAGGAAGUGUGGGUGGCAGACAGAGGAAGGGGCUCCUUGCUGUCCUCCUGAAUCCUCAGGCCCCACCCUUCUAGGGCCUUGGGGAUUCAUCUCUGCCCAGCAGGGGAGCCGGGACAGAAGGAAGGAAAGGCAUUGUCACUUGGCUUAAUUUAAAAAGUGACUCUUUCUUCCUCCUGGAGAGCAGCUGGAGUCCUGAGUCCCGAACACGCGAGAGAGCCCUGCCUCAGGCCAGGCACUGUGGGCGGGAAAGCCAGAAGCCAGGGCCCCUGUCUAUUUAUAGGU